GCUGAAAUCGCAGUGCUUUGGGAGGCUGAGGUGGGAGGAUCACAUGAGCCGGGGAGGUCGAGGCUGCAGAGGUGGGAGGAUCACAUGAGCCUGGGAGGUCGAGGCUGCAGAGGUGGGAGGAUCACAUGAGCCGGGGAGGUCGAGGCUGCAGAGGUGGGAGGAUCACAUGAGCCGGGGAGGUCGAGGCUGCAGAGGUGGGAGGAUCACAUGAGCCGGGGAGGUCGAGGCUGCAGCGAGCUGUGGUUGCACCACUGCACUUCAGCCUGGGCCACAGAGUCAUACCUUGCCUCUAAGAAAAGAUAAUGCAAACAAACAAACAAAAAAUUUAAAAAAUCAUUAGGGAAAGGAAAAGAAUGUCACAGGCUAUGGGAGUAAUGAGGCACUGGUUG
rnacentral:lncRNA from 1 species